UACGGGGGGGCAAGCGUUGUUCGGAAUUACUGGGCGUAAAGGGCUCGUAGGCGGCCAACUAAGUCAGACGUGAAAUCCCUCGGCUUAACCGGGGAACUGCAUCUGAUACUGGAUGGCUUGAGUUCGGGAGAGGGAUGCGGAAUUCCAGGUGUAGCGGUGAAAUGCGUAGAUAUCAGGAGGAACACCGAUGGCGAAGGCAGGUCAACUGGGCCACUACUGACGCUGAGGAGCGAAAGCAUGGGGAGCGA
rnacentral:rRNA from 1 species